GACGAACGCUGGCGGCGUGCCUAAUACAUGCAAGUCGAGCGAAUCUUUUGGGAGCUUGCUCCCGAAAGAUUAGCGGCGGACGGGUGAGUAACACGUGGGCAACCUGCCUAUAAGACUGGGAUAACUUCGGGAAACCGGAGCUAAUACCGGAUACGUUCUUUUCCCGCAUGAGAGAAGAUGGAAAGACGGUCUCGGCUGUCACUUAUAGAUGGGCCCGCGGCGCAUUAGCUAGUUGGUGGGGUAAUGGCUCACCAAGGCGACGAUGCGUAGCCGACCUGAGAGGGUGAUCGGCCACACUGGGACUGAGACACGGCCCAGACUCCUACGGGAGGCAGCAGUAGGGAAUCUUCCGCAAUGGACGAAAGUCUGACGGAGCAACGCCGCGUGAACGAAGAAGGCCUUCGGGUCGUAAAGUUCUGUUGUUAGGGAAGAACAAGUACCAGAGUAACUGCUGGUACCUUGACGGUACCUAACCAGAAAGCUACGGCUAACUACGUGCCAGCCGCCGCAGUAACAC
rnacentral:rRNA from 1 species